GGAGGGCCUUUGGGUUGUAAACCUCUUUUCUCAGGGAAGAAGAUCCGACGGUACCUGAGGAAUAAGCAUCGGCUAACUCCGUGCCAGCAGCCGCGGUAAUACGGAGGAUGCAAGCGUUAUCCGGAAUUAUUGGGCGUAAAGCGUCCGCAGGUGGUCUUUCAAGUCUGCUGUCAAAGACCAGAGCUUAACUCUGGGCAGGCGGUGGAAACUGAGAGACUAGAGUUCGGUAGGGGUAGCGGGAAUUCCCAGUGUAGCGGUGAAAUGCGUAGAUAUUGGGAAG
rnacentral:rRNA from 1 species